rnacentral:siRNA from 1 species
CUGCUAUGGUUCUUUGUGUUGGA